rnacentral:rRNA from 1 species
ACGUAGGGCGCAAGCGUUAUCCGGAAUUAUUGGGCGUAAAGAGCUCGUAGGCGGUUUGUCGCGUCUGCCGUGAAAGUCCGGGGCUCAACUCCGGAUCUGCGGUGGGUACGGGCAGACUAGAGUGAUGUAGGGGAGACUGGAAUUCCUGGUGUAGCGGUGAAAUGCGUAGAUAUCAGGAGGAACACCGGUGGUGUAGACGGCUCACUGGACCGUAACUGACGCUGAGACACGAAAGCGUGGGUAGCAAACAGGA